GUGUCUUGUCCAGCCUGCAGCAGGCAGUGGCACAUGUGGGCAAAGCCCCAUCGGCCCCGUGGAGGGCUGGAAACAUUCUUCCCCAUCCCUACCCAGUCCUGGGUACCUGUUCUGUGGCACCUUAGCCAAGGUGGCCCUUGCCCACUGAGCAAGGCAUAGGCUCCUAUUCAGUCCUGCAGCAGCAGGGGCCUCCCCGUCACACCUAACCCACUCUUGAUUUUCCAGAAGCCUUCGGAACGGAUGACGGAGAAGGUAGGCACCCAGACGGACCAAGCACAGCCUGAAAAGACCUGCUGUUAGGAGUGCAGGGAGGGGCUAGGAGUUUCUGCUAUGAUAGCUGGUUCCCUGUUAGGCUCUGCCUAGAGAGGAUGCUUCAGGGAGAGUGGAGCUCUACAGGAUAAGGGAGGGACUGAACUCCUUCCUUUGUGCUAUCUCCUUCUUGUGUCCUGAACAUCAUUCCGGAGAUGCUUCUUUCACCCUACAAAUGGCAGCGCCCUGCCAGAGCAGUGGGUGGAUGCAGUUCGCAGUUGUUCCCACGCUUAACAGAACCAGCUUCAGCACACACCACCUCAGAAACAUCAGCCUCAGCCAGUGUCCUGACUUGUCGGAGGUCUGGGCUACGGGUCCACAGGGAUCCUCCACAAAGAAAAUGACGUCACAAUGGCUGGAGCCCUGAUAACCACCCUGUGCCCUGAAAAUGGAAACCAAGUGUGCUGGGAAUGGCAAAGCAUAAAGGAACAUGUAGUUCCCUAAUAAAUAGUAUAUACACAA